rnacentral:rRNA from 1 species
AUGGCCUCUUUCGCCGCCCUUCCGCUGGCCGCUCUCCUGGUGCUGGCCGUCUCGUGGGCAUGGGAGCACCUCGUGUGGAGGCCCUACGCCAUAGCCAGGAGGCACAGGGCGCAAGGGAUCCAUGGCCCCCCAUACAGGUUCCUCAAGGGCUCCAACGAGGAGGUGAGGCGGAUGAAGGCGGAGACGGCCGACGUGGUGCUCGACGUCCGCGACCACAACUACCUCCCCAGGGUCGCGCCGCACUUCCUCAAGUGGAGGGCACAGUAUGGAGAGCCAUUUCUGUUCUGGUUUGGUGCCAAGCCCCGGAUCUGUGUCUUUGACUACGAGUUGGUUAGGCAGAUCCUUUCAAGCAAAUCCGGACACUUUCCGAAGAACGACGCGCACCCGAACGUGUUGGAAUUGCUCGGCAAGGGCCUGGUGUUGGUGAACGGUGUGGAUUGGGUGCGCCAUCGCAGGGUCAUCAACCCUGCUUUUGCAAUGGAUAAGAUAAAGGCGAUGACGGAAACGAUGGUGUCUUGUGCCCAACGCACGUUCAGUGUGUUUGAAGAUCAGGCAUGCAAGAACACAAAUAGAGAAAUCCUAGUGGAAUUCGACAAAGCAGUCCAAGGGUUAACAGCAGAUAUCAUAUCCCACACAGCCUUCGGAAGUAGCUACAAAUUAGGAAUGGAAGCCUUCCAUGCCCAGAAAGAGCUCCAGUCAAUCGCCAUAUCCAGUUUACUUAAUGUGCAGAUACCAGGAUUCAGCUAUCUGCCCACAAAAAGGAAUAGGAGGAAGUGGAUGCUUGAAAAGAAGCUUCGAAGCACGCUCAUGCGUGUCAUAAACUCGCGGUUAGCGUCGAAGGGGAGCGGAUAUGGAAAUGACCUACUUGGUUUGAUGUUUGAGGGCUGCACUACGACAGUGCAAGGGGGCAAGCAGGAGCAGCUAAGCUUGAGCAUGGAGGAGAUCCUACACGAGUGCAAAACAUUCUUCUUCGCCGGUUACGAAACGACAUCGCUUCUGCUCACCUGGACAGUGUUCUUGCUCAGUGUGUACCCAGAGUGGCAGGAGAGGCUACGGGAGGAGGUCUUGAGGGAGAUGAUGAUGGUCCUCCAUGAAGCCCUGAGGCUCUACGGCCCUGCUCUUUUCAUGCAGAGGAAGACCAUAACUGACAUGGUGGUCGGAGCCAUAACAAUCCCCAAGGACCAUGCAGUUGUCAUAGGCGCCCCAUUCAUGCACCGGGAUAAAAAGGUCUGGGGUGAGGAUGCGGAUCAGUUCAACCCGAUGAGAUUCGCGAACGGGGUCGCCAGAGCGGCGAAGGUUCCACACGCCCUGCUGGCGUUCUCGAUCGGGCCGAGGGCGUGCAUCGGCCAGAACUUUGCGAUGCUCGAAGCCAAAUCCGUGAUGGUGACGGUUCUGCAGAAGUUCUCGUUCGCUCUCUCCCCGAGCUAUGUCCACGCUCCUGCGGAUUUCCUCACUCUGCAGCCUAAGUUUGGCCUCCCCGUCGUUAUGAAGCUGCUGGAUAUAUGA